CCUAGGGAGGCAGCAGUGAGGAAUACUGGUCAAUGGACGCAAGUCUGAACCAGCCAUGCCGCGUGAAGGAAGAAGGCUCUCGGGUUGUAAACUUCUUUUAUCAGGGACGAAGCAAGUGACGGUACCUGAUGAAUAAGCCACGGCUAACUACGUGCCAGCAGCCGCGGUAAUACGUAGGUGGCAAGCGUUAUCCGGAUUUACUGGGUGUAAAGGGCGUGUAGGCGGGAAAGCAAGUCAGAUGUGAAAACCAUGGGCUCAACCUGUGGCCUGCAUUUGAAACUGUUUUUCUUGAGUACUGGAGAGGCAGACGGAAUUCCUAGUGUAGCGGUGAAAUGCGUAGAUAUUAGGAGGAACACCAGUGGCGAAGGCGGUCUGCUGGACAGCAACUGACGCUGAGGCGCGAAAGCGUGGGGAGCAAACAGGAUUAGAUACCCCGGUAGUC
rnacentral:rRNA from 1 species